GUUACAUUUGCUUUCCAUCUUGUUAGGGCCUAAGACACUGCACUGAUGUUAUGAAUGUCAAACGGUUCACUUCCUGAAAAUGAAUCUUCCAGUUGUUGUGUGGGGGUUCCUGUCAGGAGGGGCAGAGCUCUGUGGCGGGGGUAAUGUUCCUGUCAGGAGGGGCAGAGCUCUGUGGCACCCAUCAGCCUGUGUGUAAAGAGGUGGGGAGAGUCACCUCCUUGGCAGCUGUUUGCACCGUUCCACUGGGGCAGGAUCUGGUCAAGGUGGUCUGAUUUGGAGUGGCCAUUCAUUCCCUGUGCUCACAUAGUAUGCAAUCUCUCUAAUCCAGAUUACUUCCCACACGGUGUGUCAUCUGGCUCAGGUGUAUGCAGGACAGCCCCUGGAACUCCUGAAAUGACAUUCUCUGCUUUGACUUCCAAUUAGAGCUACAGCAGCAACUGGAUGAAGUCACAUCAAAAGUACAGGUUCUCCAGGAUGAGCUCAGCAUCCUUCGGACCUUCACAGAUCUAAACCAAGCUAUGCAGAUAGUCCUCCUGCUGUCCAACGUCCAAAACCUGAAGAAGCAACAGCAGGAUGAGAUAGAUGAGACAGAAAAAAUGGGAAAGGCCAUUCUGGAGGAACUGGAAGAAAAAUCACAGCUAGAACAAGAAGAGAUAUUACAGAAAGUCGCGGAGGAGGUGUUGCUGCACCAGGAUGGGCUGAAGCAGAUGGUCAUCAACAAUCACAUUCUUCGACAUGAAAUAAGAAGACAAAAAGAGAUUAUUAAAGACCUGGAAGAGGAGAUCAGCGAGCUGAAAAGAAGCGUCCAGACACUCCGCCAGAGUGCAAGAGACCCAAGAGAGAUGAUCUUCGCUGACGUUUUUCUCCACAGACCAAAGUAAGCCAGUGAAUUCCCAGAGAAGUAAGGCUGGUCGAUGGGCAGGCACAUGCCUUUCUCUAUGGCCUUGGGUAGGAAAAGUCUGGUGUUGAGCCUUAGUGCAACUGCCACAGAUACCACUGUCAAACCUACGUGCAGUCUGGGAUAUAAACUCACAGCUUACUGUUGUCCUGCUGGGACAGAUUGCUGCCAGCUCUCAUGGCUUGCCUAACAGCAGCUAGGAAGCAGCCAAAAUAACAGCAGUGUGCUGUCAGCUUUGGUCGCUUCUCAUCUCACUUCUAGGCUUCCUUUUGUCCAUCCUGUAAGUGGUGAUAAUUAUUGACUGCAGGAACAGGCAGGAGAAGCAGCAAAGCUUUUCAAGGCCCUCGUGAACUACAUCCAUUCUUACUUUAUUUUUCUUUUCUGUCUGUGUUUGGGAAGCAAAACUAAAGGGAGGUGGCCAAGCUCCUGCGGAAGGCAGGACUUACCCAUCUCAAGCCACUUUGCUGGUUGUGUGAAAUGGCACGAGCAGUCUGUGGGAACAAAGAUGGGCAGCCAUUUCCCUAAUAUGUUAAAAAAAAAAAAAAAAAAAAAGGUCUGAGGCAUUCAUUGGCAGCAAAAAAGCAAGACUUUGUUGUCUUUCCCAGCGCUCUUUCUCUGCCCUCGUUCAUUGGUAGCUGAUUACUUGCAGAACGGAGGCUGUGGUUAAUCUCCACUCCCUCCUACCAGUGUGCACAGUGUUUAUGCUGGAUAUUAAAGUUAUGAAGGGCAAGGAGAAUCCUUGCUGUUUGUUGACGGGGAGAAGGCUCUGCCAGACGGCUCACGGGACCAUGGGGCUAUCCUCUCCAGGGCUGAUGGACAGGCUGGCCAAGUCUGUAGGCUGAGGUAAACCAGCAGCCUGCUGUGACAAGUUAUUUUCCACCACAGCCAUGGUAGGAGCCCAUCCCAGCAAACAGAAGCUGGAGGCCUGAUGCUGCACCUUGUCCCACAGUGGGUUCUGCCCAGAGCACAGAUGAUUCAGAGCA
rnacentral:lncRNA from 1 species